GCGGCGAACGGGUGCGUAACACGUGAGAACCUGCCCAAAAGAGGGGGAUAGCCCGCCGAAAGGCGGAUUAAUACCGCAUAUUAACAAAGCAGCAAUGCGCUUUUGGAUGGGCUCGCGGCCUAUCAGCUAGAUGGUGAGGUAAUGGCUCACCAUGGCUAUGACGGGUAGCUGGUCUGAGAGGACGACCAGCCACACUGGGACUGAGACACGGCCCAGACACCUACGGGUGGCAGCAGUCGAGAAUUUUUCACAAUGGGGGCAACCCUGAUGGAGCGACGCCGCGUGGAGGAUGAAGGUUUUCGGAUUGUAAACUCCUGUCAUGAGAGAACAAAGCCCGCAAGGGUCUGAUAGUAUCUCAAGAGGAAGGGACGGCUAACUCUGUGCCAGCAGCCGCGGUAAUACAGAGGUCCCAAGCGUUGUUCGGAUUCACUGGGCGUAAAGGGUGCGUAGGUGGCGGGGAAAGUUGCGUGUUAAACCUCAAGGCUUAACCUUGAAACCGCUCGCAAUACUACUCUGCUAGAGGACUGUAGAGGAGAAUGGAAUUCACGGUGUAGCAGUGAAAUGCGUAGAUAUCGUGAGGAAGACCAGUGGCGAAGGCGAUUCUCUGGGCAGUUCCUGACACUGAGGCACGAAGGCCAGGGGAGCAAACGGGAUUAGAUACCCCGGUAGUCCUG
rnacentral:rRNA from 1 species